GACGGGGGGUCCUAGCGUUGUUCGGAAUCAUUGGGCGUAAAGCGUGUGCAGGUGGUUCUGUAAGUUAGAUGUGAAAGCCUUGGGCUUAACCCAAGAAGUGCAUUUAAAACUACAAAACUUGAGUAUGGAAGAGGGUCGUGGAAUUCCAGGUGUAGUGGUGAAAUACGUAGAUAUCUGGAGGAACACCGGUGGCGAAGGCGGCGACCUGGUCCUAUACUGACACUCAUACACGAAAGCGUGGGGAUCAAACAGG
rnacentral:rRNA from 1 species